rnacentral:tRNA from 1 species
GGUGUGUAAAGAUCAAUGGUAGAGCACAUGCUUAGCAGGCAUGAGGUCCUGGGUUUGAUCCCCAGUAUCUCCA